rnacentral:lncRNA from 1 species
UAUAUUAAUGAAGAUAUUUUAUGUAAAAAAAAAUUUCUUUUGUCUUCGACUUUUAUCUUCAUAGCAACUGAUGAUCAUACUUCGCCAUGAUUUUUUAAACAGUCGUCGCUUGCAAUUACAUUUAACUGAAUACAUACCAGCUUAAGAAUCUUCGCUAUCUCGAGCAUAUCGUCGCUCACUAUCCUUCCUGGGCAUCCAAGUAUGUGGGUCGUCGCCCUCCACCAUACUUUGGGAACUUCAACCUCUGGGACAGUAGGGAAAUCAUCCACUUAGAUCCCAGGCAUCCAAGUAUGUGGGUCGUCGCCCUCCACCAUACUUGGGGAACUUCAACCUCUGGGACAGUAGGGAAAUCAUCCACUUAGAUCCCAGGCAUCCAAGU